UUAUUUGUUUGGGGCUUUACUAUCCACUUGUUAAACUUUCUAAGAAAUUAAUGCUCGAUAGUAGUUGAAAUGUGCUAUCAUUUUCCAGAUGAGACUUUGACAUAGUGUCACACCGGAUUAUUUUUGUCUUGUAAAUGUCUUCAGCAUCUCCCAAUGGCCCAAAGCCCUUACUUUCUUAUCUUCUAGCUAUAGUUUUGAGGGUUAGGCUCUCUAUAAACCCCACAAUGGGUUUCCCCGGUGUGGAGCAGAAGGUGUGGAUGUUGGCAUGUGAGAUGGGAAAAAAAAUGCGAUGUUCAAAGUGAGAAAGGGCCUUUCCAUACUCCCCAGAGAGGGGCCCAUAUGGCAUCGUUUUCGGGUCCCAUCAAAACUUUAAGGCAUACCUUCACCUUGUGCAGAGUCCUUGAUGUCCUACCAAGGAAGACGUCCUCACAUCUUGCAGCAGGAACCCAUUGAUACGGCGCCCACCUUGACUUCCGAAUGGGACAGCGCAUCCUCAGAAGCAACGGUGAUGGCGGUGAUGGCGCCUGCAUCACACAUCGAAGACGCUUGUGCUGAUAGCUCAAGCCCUUGAAAACCCAGCCAAGGUCAGUGUCGUAUCCUCCAGGAAUCCUGGCCGGCAAGAUGUGCUGGAAGUUGCUGCCGCCACCAGAGCCACCUCUGUUGCCGGCCGCCCCAUCCUUGGACCUUCGCCAAGCCAGCCCAGCCAGUCCUCCGAGGGCCGCGACUCCCGCCGUCACUAGUCCCGCUGCUGACCAGCAGCGGCCCCGCACAGGUGCGGUCACCUGUGUCACACGGAUGCUCCUCGGGGCCACGUGGACAUUUCCAGCCCAGGCCGCAGGGGGGCGCUGGCCCAGAGCCUCUGCGCAUGUGCAGCCCCUCCCGAGGCCCACUCGGGGAGGAGGCCGCGCGGGUCUCUGCUGCAGAGAUCCUGAAGGGAUGGAACAGGAAGAGCAGGCUGCUGCCGCGGGCCACGACGGAGAAGGAAUUUCAGGGAUGUUAACAGAUGCUGAUGCAGUUGGACUAUGUCCUUGAGCUUCUGCCAUCACCAUGAGAACAAGUCCUAGCCGCCAAAAGAUUGAGAGCCACAUGAAUCAAACCUAAAUUGAGCCUACAACCUGGAGCCAAGCCCAGGCAAGGCCAGGUGAGCUCAGAAGGAGAUUUCCACUUGGGUAAGAAGAAGACUGAGAGGGCAUAUGUCAUUAAAAUAAUACCUCUUUCAAAGUCUUGUUGAUGUGAGAAUAAAAUUCAUCACCAUGAGAAUAGUUUAGCUAUGAUACAUUUUAUGAGUGGAGUUUAUUUAACCCUCUGAGAUGUUUUAUGAUCAGAACUAGAAUUCAGAGUGUUGCCUUGGACCUUUUAUUUUAAAAAGGAAAGGACUGAAUGGAAGUGACUGUCAGGGCACGUAACAUUGGCUCUUAAUCUAGUGACUUGAUAGAGUCAUUGCAUUCCACAUGGUACUCAAUGUUCCACAGCAGAGUGUGUUUGUUUAAAGAGCAUCUCACAAGAGUAGUGGACCUAGACAUAGUAUCUUGAGACAGUCUUUGAGUUUAGUCUAGUGUUACAUUCAGAGGCAGUUCUGAACUGUGGAGAAUAUUUAUUCUUAUACACAAGUGAAAUUAGUAGGUCAUAGUUGUAGAUAAUCUGUGUGCUUAAGUGUUGCAAAACCUACAGACAUAGAUAGACAGGGUAGGACCAGAAUAGCAAUAUUGGCUUUGUCUUUUACUGUACUGGCAUAAUUCACUUUUAUUAGGAUUGUGUUUGGCAUAUGAGAGGACUAAGGUUUAGUUCUUUCCCAGUAGCUAUAUAGGUUAUUAGUGGUUGUAGGAAAGGAUAUUACCUCUAUAUUCAAAAGGACAUGCGCCUGGUGUCCUUUCAAGCUUAAAAAUGAGCUGAAGAUGCUUUUAAUAUGUGAACACCUUUUCUCAUUUCAUAUUGGUAGAAAAUAGAUCUUGAUAUGUAUAUAUAUAUUUUUUUGAGAGCUCUGAACCAUUCAUUAUGAUUCAAGAAGUUUUUUCCACAGAUUAUCCACAAUUUUUUUUUAAGAGAGAGCACCAGAGAGCAUGUGCACAUGCACAAGUCAGGGGAGGGGCCAAGGGGGAGAAUCUUCAAGCAGACUCCCCACUGAGCAUGGAGCCCAACUUGGGGCUCAGUCUCGUGACCUGAGCCGAAACCAAGAGUUGGACACUUAACUGAGCCACCCACAUACCCCUAUUCAACAAUUUUUUUUAAUAGAUAGUCUACCAUGUGCCAAUUACUGAGAAUUACAUUAAUAAGAUGGUUAUUAUUUUAAAUAUCUGAUGAUAUAAAUGGAGAAUAAAGUUAGAAGACAAUUAUAGGACAGCAUGAUAAAUCCUAGGAUAAGGAUUCUUUGCAUACUCCUUCAGUACCCAGGAUCAUCCAACCUAGUCUUGGAGGUAGACAAGGAAAGCUUCCCAAAGGAAGUAGUUUCUAGUGAUGAAUGAUUAGGAGUUAUGUUUCAUGGAGGGAAGUAAUUUGAAGAGAGUUUUUUUUUUUAGGUAGAAAGUCCUUAAAAAGGGCAGCCCCGGUGGCGCAGUGGUUUAGCGCCACCUGCAGCCCGGGGUUUGGUCCUGGGGACCCUGGAUUGAGUCCCACAUCAGGCUCCCUGCAUGGAGCUUGCUUCUCCCUCUGCCUGUGCCUCUGCCUCUCUCUCUCUGUGUCUCUAUGAAUAAAUAAAUAAAAUCAUUAAAAAAAAAAAGUCCUUAAAAAGCCUUUGGUGGUAGCAUGAGGUUCGCGUCACUGUCAGCUGGAACCAGAGUCAUCAGCUGAAACCAGAGUCAUCAGCUGAAUGGGUUCCUCUAACCAAAUUAGACAAGCCAAAACCCCAUGGUAAAAGCACUAUACCAAAAUGAGAAAGCCUUCAACCUCACAUACAGAACUGAAUUUGUUGCUCUCCUGAAAUGUUAUGAUCAGUUCUGGUCAAUUGAAACUAACAGAUUAUAAAGAGAAGACACAAAGACAGGUAUCUGAGUCACCUAAGUCACCUAAGACAUCUGAGUCAGUGUAAUGGUUUUGUAUGAGUGAAAACCAAAGAAAUAAGGAUUUCCAGUUGGGAAAAAUGAAAGCUUAGAGGACAUGUGAUCAAAAUUAAGAAAUAAAAAAGGAGGAAGUCAAAAGCCCUGCUGGUUCUUUCUGUACCUCCUAGUCACCAUGUGAUAAAUUGAUUCAUCUCUGGGGGCCUCAGUUCUACAUCUGUACAAAAAAGGCACCAGAAUAGUGAAUGUUUGUAGUGGUAUUUGGCCUGGAGGCUUUUACUACUAACAACCAGCACCUCUUUGUUUAAGGCCUGUCCUCAGGCUUCUAGAAUCUGCUUGCUUUGAAUACAUGGAGAGUAAUAAAUAGGUGGGAAUAUAGUCAUCCCUCACCCCAAAGUAACCCUUAACCCCAAUAUGAUAGGUGGGGGGUAAAAAUACUUCAGGUCCCUUGCCUCCUACUGGUGACCUCAUCCUCCCCAACCCUGGGUUGAGCCAAUAUCACUCUUUGUGGAGUUUUGCUUGAUAUUGUACCCUUUACUUCUUUCUCUGUGCAAUGCUAUCUCCCACUACUCUUGUUCUACCAGCCUGGUCUGAUUUAGAUAGUAGCUUUGGUAUUCUUUAAGAUCUUUAAUAUUUGUUUAUUUACAUACACUAAACACAUAUUUGUGGCAGAUUAAAAGAAAAGAAGUAAAUACAUAUUUGUGGCAGAUGAAAUGAGAAGAAAAGUAAAUAUAUAUUUGUGGCAGAUGAGAAGAAGUAUCUUAUGCUUAAUAUUGUUUAGAAUCACUAUUAACAUAUAAACAUACCCACUAAUUAAUUUAUUAAGUGCUCACUAAUUCCAUAACUGAUUUUAUUUAUUUAUUUAUUUAUUUAUUUAUUUAUUUAUUUAUUUUUUCCAUAACUGAUAUUUUACAUGUUUGCUUCUGUAGAGAUCCUUGGUGUACUGUUAUAUAGGUAUCUGAGCAUUUUAGUGAUAUUUAGG
rnacentral:lncRNA from 1 species